ACUCCCAGCAGCUGUUGGUUCUCCUGAGCUCUGCCUCGUGCUCCACCCUCCUUAGUAUGCAGCCAGUCAGGGCACAACCAGUGACCAUGUGGAUGUUGGAGAGAGAGCUGGGGGUUAGCUCGUGUGCUGACUCAGUCUGAGAGGUCAGGAGUUUUACAAUACCGAUGGGCCCAGGCUGGCUUGGGAACUUCCUCAUCAGCUGCCACCUAUAUGCACUUAAAAAAUCCCACACAACCUGCCUAGAAGGGAUUUACAUCUAGAAUUAAUAUCUCCACUACUGGCUCGUUUUCCAGGAAAUUUGCCUAGUCAACAAGUGGCUUUCCUGCUUGAGGACAGUAUUCCUGCCAUCACUCGAAAAGUGGUGGGCUUUUGUGCGGCAGCUCGAAGAUUGUGACAGUUUUUAAUUAAUAAUUCCAGUGCUGCUUUAUAACCUUUCAGUUAUAAUAUUGUUGGUGGGUUAGACUGUUGAUAUGUUAUCUUUUUAACUGUUAUUUAUAUUUUUAUUGUAUUUUUGUUCCCCUUGUUGUGCUGGUCAUAGACUGUAAUAAACUUUGAUUGAUUGAU